UGAUGACAAUUCUCCGGAAUCGCUGUACUUCUGUGAUGAUUCCAUUGAACCCUUUUGUGUCUGAUGACUGCUCGGCCUCAGU